GAUUAACGCUGGCGGCGUGCAUAACACAUGCAAGUCGAACGAUGAAACUCAUUAGAUUUCUUCGGAAUGAAAAUGAAUGGCUUAGUGGCGAACGGGUGAGUAACGCGUGAGUAACCUGCCUUACACAAGGGGAUAGCCUCUGGAAACGGAGAAUAAUACCCUAUGAAACCAGACAAUCGCAUGAUAAUCUGGUCAAAAUGUUUAGUGGUGUAAGAUGGACUUGCGUCUGAUUAGCUAGUUGGUGAGAUAAAAGCUCACCAAGGCAACGAUCAGUAGCCGGCUUGAGAGAGUGUACGGCCACAUUGGGACUGAGACACGGCCCAGACUCCUACGGGAGGCAGCAGUGGGGAAUUUUGCACAAUGGGGGAAACCCUGAUGCAGCGACGCCGCGUGAUUUAGAAGGCCUUCGGGUUGUAAAAAUCUUUUGUAUAGGAAGAAAAUGACAGUACUAUACGAAUAAGGUCCGGCUAAUUACGUG
rnacentral:rRNA from 1 species